rnacentral:antisense_RNA from 1 species
AUUUCAUUCCAAGUCCAGCCUUCAACCCCAGUGCCUGAGCAGGAGGGAGGGACAUUGCUCUGACUCUUGAGUUGCGAGGACUGGAAGACCUUCACUUUAGCCCUGCAAGCUCUGGCUUCCAGCACAGCUGAGAGGCCCCAGUGGUGCAAGACUCUGAAGGCUUCUUUGAGUGAUCACAGGUUCUUGACCACUUGUCUGGGCACUACUCCUGUCUCCCGGAGCUCAGGCUGGAUGGAGUCUCUUCCCCCAGUUCAGGCUGCAGCCCCAGCCGCCACAGCUACAGCGGUGAGAGCAGGCCGGAUCCCAGAUCUGCAGGCGGGUGAGCAGGUGGAGCCCAGCGAAGAGAUGUUCCUGCUGCAGGCAAUUAUGCAAAAUGCUUGCUCUGUUGCCCAGGGUGGAGUGCAGUGGCGCGAUCGCGGCUCACUGCAACCUCUGCCUUCUGGAUUCAAGCGAUUCUCCUGCCUCAGCCUCCCAAGUAGCUGGCGUUACAGGCACCUGCCACCAUGCCUGGCCACGGCUCACCAAGAAACAGCCACCUCCCCCCUCCACAUACCCUGCAAAACUAAUUUGACUGAAAGACGGUCUCUUAUAUUUUCCAAACUCUCAGGCUUACAUCAAUCACACUGAUGAUCAAGAGUGAAGAAAGGACGAGGAUGGGCAGAAACAUCACACAAUCACGAUGAGCAAUGCCUGACAUGACAAAGAGCAAGAAAAUGGUUAACAUACGCACAUAAUUAUCAAACAUUCCAUACACAAUUAAUUUUUUCCAAAUGCUGUUGUUCGCAGAUUAAUUCCCAAUUAUGGUACAUUAAAAAAUCAACGAGCUGCAGGAGGCAGAACGUAACCAGAGACACAAACUAAAAGCACAGUUGAUUCUGCGGGUUCUUUUGAAGAGGAAGCUUUAGAAGUCUGGCAGGGAUAAGAAGGGCUAAAUGAAUCCCAGUCAGCCUACCCCUCAGUACCACAGUGACCACCAAGAAGAAGGCCUAAUGCAGAGCAGAGCAGAGAGCUCUGCAAACGGCAAUGCUUGGAACAGCAAUGCAGAAAUAAUUAGUGCCUUGUUUAAGAGCAUCUCAGGGGGCUUAACUGCUCUACCUCAUUUCUUCUUGUGUGGCCGAUUAAAAAAAAAAAAUCCCUUCAGUGCGACUCUCUGAAUGUUGAGAGGAGCAAGUGUUAGUUACCAAAUCUCUCAAAGUGACCGAUUCCCUUCUCACCUGCUUUGCACGUCCAAGGCAGCCCUGCCAGCAGCACAGCAAAGACUGCUUUGGCACCAGGAUGCUGUUAUUUUUGUUUUUUAAAAAUAGAGAUGGGGUCUCGCUAUAGCCCAGGCUGUUCUUGAAAUCCUGGCCUUAAGCAAUCCUCCUCCCUUGGCCUCCCUAAGCAUGGGGAUUACAGGUGUGAGCCACCUCGCCAGGCCCACCGAGGGUUGCUGGUUUUAAGAGAAAACCCCUGCACUUUGGCCAGGCCUCCUGAAGGAGACUGGAGAUAGCAGCUUAGCCCAUGAGGGGUUAACCUGCUGACCUGGCCAAGAAGGCACCUCAGGGAGAGCCCUCUUCUAACCAAAGAAAGGGACAAAGAACUAACUCAGGGCCAUGGUGUUUUGGUGGAGGACGCAGAAACCUCCCUUUCCUCUUUCCUUCCACAGCACAUGCAGCACAGAGACAGGGCUGGAAGGCUGAGCAAGAGUCAGAGCUACAGCUUGGAAGUACUGGAAAGCGGCAGCAGAUUCUCGGGGUGAUGGGAAAAGCAAAAUCUGCUUCACUAAAACUCCCUCGGUGAUCAACUUUUUCAGCAGUCCUCCAAUUCCCGACUAGAAGGCAAAAGCCCGGCCCAGGCCACGGGAGGCACUUCACUAAAGAAGAAAAACCUGAGCUCCAGCAAGCUCAGUAACUUCAUCAGUCACCUAAUUGAACGAGAACCCAGAGCAACUCAGUCCAGGCUGCACAAAUUGAGUAGCACUGCUUUGCAGCUCGCCGCACUAAAAGUGAAAGAUAUUUUCCAUUACAGCAAGUGCUCCCACAGAAGGAUCAUGAGCCGCACAUGGAGCCUUACUCUCCAAAUAGGCGCCCAUGGCCCAGUCGUCCCUUAGCCUGAGAACUCAAAGAGCCAGGCUGUAAUAAUGGGGCUGCCGUGUGAGCACGGCAGCCAUCGAGCUGCUCCGGUUCAUUUCCCAGAGGUUGAGCUGCAGUGUGUCCAGUAUUUAAAAGUAUGGAACUUGUUUCAGGGCUGACCCAUUCUUGCCCAAUUCAUCUUCCCCGUGUGAAGUUAUUUAGCAAACAGCCAAGUUCAGCUGGAAAUCGUUUUUCAUCCCCUCCAACUUCUAGUCACAUGGGCAGCUGGCCAGCUACAUGUUAACAAGCGCCUCAGAACUCCUAAGACACCAUCGGCCUCUGUUCCCUUCAGUGCGUUCUUGUAAAUAAAUAAAUAAAUAAUAAAACCUUCCUUUACCACCCCC